rnacentral:rRNA from 1 species
AGAGUUUGAUCAUGGCUCAGGAUGAACGCUAGCGGCAGGCCUAAUACAUGCAAGUCGGACGGGAUUCGCCCUUUCGGGGGCGAUGAGAGUGGCGCACGGGUGCGUAACGCGUAUGCAACCCACCUCUUACAGGGGGAUAGCCCGGGGAAACCCGGAUUAAUACCCCAUGGCACCAAAACGCGGCAUCGCGUUUUGGUUAAAGAUUCAUCGGUAGGAGACGGGCAUGCGUGGGAUUAGCUAGUUGGGGGGGUAACGGCCCACCAAGGCUGUGAUCCCUAGGGGUUCUGAGAGGAAGGUCCCCCACACUGGCACUGAGACACGGGCCAGACUCCUACGGGAGGCAGCAGUAGGGAAUAUUGGGGCAAUGGGCGGGAGCCUGACCCAGCCAUGCCGCGUGCAGGACGACGGCCCUCUGGGUUGUAAACUGCUUUUACACGGGAAGAAACCCCCCCAUGCGUGGGGAGCUGCCGGUACCGUGUGAAUAAGCACCGGCUAACUCCGUGCCAGCAGCCGCGGUAAUACGGAGGGUGCGAGCGUUGUCCGGAUUUAUUGGGUUUAAAGGGUGCGUAGGCGGCCCGAUAAGUCAGCGGUGAAAGACCCCGGCUCAACCGGGGCAGUGCCGUUGAUACUGUUGGGCUUGAGUCACGGAGGGGUACAUGGAAUUUAUGGUGUAGCGGUGAAAUGCAUAGAUACCAUAAGGAACCCCGAUAGCGAAGGCAUUGUACUUGCCGUGCACUGACGCUGAUGCACGAAAGCGUGGGUAGCGAACAGGAUUAGAUACCCUGGUAGUCCACGCCGUAAACGAUGGUCACUCGCUGUCCUGCCUUUAAGGCGCGGCGGCCAAGCGAAAGCGUUAAGUGACCCACCUGGGGAGUACGCCGGCAACGGUGAAACUCAAAGGAAUUGACGG